CGGGGUGUUGCGCAGCUGGUAGCGCGCCUGCUUUGGGAGCAGGAGGCCCGGGGUUCGAGUCCCCGCACUCCGA
rnacentral:tRNA from 1 species